UUUGGAUCUGGCUCAGAUUGAACGCUGGCGGCAGGCCUAACACAUGCAAGUCGAGCGGUAGCACAGAGAGCUUGCUCUCGGGUGACGAGCGGCGGACGGGUGAGUAAUGUCUGGGAAACUGCCUGAUGGAGGGGGAUAACUACUGGAAACGGUAGCUAAUACCGCAUAACGUCGCAAGACCAAAGUGGGGGACCUUCGGGCCUCAUGCCAUCAGAUGUGCCCAGAUGGGAUUAGCUAGUAGGUGGGGUAACGGCUCACCUAGGCGACGAUCCCUAGCUGGUCUGAGAGGAUGACCAGCCACACUGGAACUGAGACACGGUCCAGACUCCUACGGGAGGCAGCAGUGGGGAAUAUUGCACAAUGGGCGCAAGCCUGAUGCAGCCAUGCCGCGUGUAUGAAGAAGGCCUUCGGGUUGUAAAGUACUUUCAGCGGGGAGGAAGGCGAUAAGGUUAAUAACCUUGUCGAUUGACGUUACCCGCAGAAGAAGCACCGGCUAACUCCGUGCCAGCAGCCGCGGUAAUACGGAGGGUGCAAGCGUUAAUCGGAAUUACUGGGCGUAAAGCGCACGCAGGCGGUCUGUCAAGUCGGAUGUGAAAUCCCCGGGCUCAACCUGGGAACUGCAUUCGAAACUGGCAGGCUAGAGUCUUGUAGAGGGGGGUAGAAUUCCAGGUGUAGCGGUGAAAUGCGUAGAGAUCUGGAGGAAUACCGGUGGCGAAGGCGGCCCCCUGGACAAAGACUGACGCUCAGGUGCGAAAGCGUGGGGAGCAAACAGGAUUAGAUACCCUGGUAGUCCACGCCGUAAACGAUGUCGAUUUGGAGGUUGUGCCCUUGAGGCGUGGCUUCCGGAGCUAACGCGUUAAAUCGACCGCCUGGGGAGUACGGCCGCAAGGUUAAAACUCAAAUGAAUUGACGGGGGCCCGCACAAGCGGUGGAGCAUGUGGUUUAAUUCGAUGCAACGCGAAGAACCUUACCUGGUCUUGACAUCCACAGAACUUAGCAGAGAUGCUUUGGUGCCUUCGGGAACUGUGAGACAGGUGCUGCAUGGCUGUCGUCAGCUCGUGUUGUGAAAUGUUGGGUUAAGUCCCGCAACGAGCGCAACCCUUAUCCUUUGUUGCCAGCGGUUCGGCCGGGAACUCAAAGGAGACUGCCAGUGAUAAACUGGAGGAAGGUGGGGAUGACGUCAAGUCAUCAUGGCCCUUACGACCAGGGCUACACACGUGCUACAAUGGCAUAUACAAAGAGAAGCGACCUCGCGAGAGCAAGCGGACCUCAUAAAGUAUGUCGUAGUCCGGAUUGGAGUCUGCAACUCGACUCCAUGAAGUCGGAAUCGCUAGUAAUCGUAGAUCAGAAUGCUACGGUGAAUACGUUCCCGGGCCUUGUACACACCGCCCGUCACACCAUGGGAGUGGGUUGCAAAAGAAGUAGGUAGCUUAACCUUCGGGAGGGCGCUUACCACUUUGUGAUUCAUGACUGGGGUGAAGUCGUAACAAGGUAACCGUCC
rnacentral:rRNA from 1 species